rnacentral:rRNA from 1 species
GACGAACGCUGGCGGCGCGCCUAACACAUGCAAGUCGAACGGAUGCAAGAGGAGCUUGCUUUUCUUGACUUAGUGGCGAACGGGUGAGUAACGCGUGAGUAACCUGCCCUGGAGUGGGGGACAAGAGUUGGAAACGACUGCUAAUACCGCAUAAGCCCACGGAUCCGCAUGGAUCUGCGGGAAAAGGAUUUAUUCGCUUCAGGAUGGACUCGCGUCCAAUUAGCUAGUUGGUGAGGUAACGGCCCACCAAGGCUACGAUUGGUAGCCGGACUGAGAGGUUGAACGGCCACAUUGGGACUGAGACACGGCCCAGACUCCUACGGGAGGCAGCAGUGGGGGAUAUUGCACAAUGGGGGAAACCCUGAUGCAGCGACGACGCGUGGAGGAAGAAGGUUUUCGGAUUGUAAACUCCUGUCGUUAGGGACGAUAAUGACGGUACCUAAAAAGGAAGCACCGGCUAACUACGUG